AUUUUGCAGACGCCGCAGACAAACUGCUUUGGUUUUGCCGGAGCCUUCAGCAGCAGGUGGAGGGCGCGCUGAGCUGAAGCAAGCGGAAAUGUUUCCUUAACUUUUUCAUUCCUAAAGCUGUAAACUUUUCUAAUGCAGGAAAAUUUUGCCAUUAAAGAACUUUGUUGAUUUCCUGGUGA